UGCGCAGGCGGUUUUGCAAGACCGAUGUGAAAUCCCCGGGCUUAACCUGGGAACUGCAUUGGUGACUGCAAGGCUAGAGUGUGUCAGAGGGAGGUGGAAUUCCGCGUGUAGCAGUGAAAUGCGUAGAUAUGCGGAGGAACACCGAUGGCGAAGGCAGCCUCCUGGGAUAACACUGACGCUCAUGCACGAAAGCGUGGGGAGCAAACA
rnacentral:rRNA from 1 species